GGGCCCGUAGCUCAGCUAGGAUAGAGCGUCGGGUUGCGGACCCGGAGGUCGCGGGUUCGAAUCCCGCCGGGCCCG
rnacentral:tRNA from 1 species